UACGUAGGGGGCAAGCGUUGUCCGGAUUUAUUGGGCGUAAAGCGCUCGCAGGUGGUUCGUUGCGUCGUGCGUGAAAGACCCCGGCUCAACUGGGGAGGGUCGUGCGAUACGGGCGAACUGGAGGCCAGUAGGGGGAUGCGGAAUUCCGGGUGUAGUGGUGGAAUGCGUAGAGAUCCGGAGGAACACCAGCGGCGAAGGCGGCAUCCUGGACUGGUCCUGACACUCAUGAGCGAAAGCGUGGGAAGCGAUCCGG
rnacentral:rRNA from 1 species